CAGCAGCCGCGGGAAUACGUAGGUGGCAAGCGUUGUCCGGAAUUAUUGGGCGUAAAGGGCUCGCAGGCGGUUUCUUAAGUCUGAUGAGAAAGCCCCCGGCUCAACCGGGGAGAGUCAUUGGAAACUGGGAAACUUGAGUGCAGAAGAGGAGAGUGGAAUUCCACGUGUAGCGGUGAAAUGCGUAGAGAUGUGGAGGAACACCAGUGGCGAAGGCGACUCUCUGGUCUGUAACUGACGCUGAGGAGCGAAAGCGUGGGGAGCGAACAGGAUUAGAUACCCCUGUAGUCCCUGUCUCUUAUAC
rnacentral:rRNA from 1 species